rnacentral:rRNA from 1 species
GCCAUAGCACCCUGGUCACACCCAGUCUCCUCUGCUCUCAGAAGCUAAGCAGGGUCGAGCCUGUUUAGCACUCAGAUGGGGGACAAUUGUGGUGAAGAGGUACAAAGCAAA